ACUCAAAGGAAUUGACGGGGACCCGCACAAGCGGUGGAGCAUGUGGUUUAAUUCGACGCAACGCGAAGAACCUUACCUAGGCUAGAAUGUGAGGGAAUGUUGGGUAACGCCAACAGUCUGGGAAACCAGACCCAAAACAAGGUGCUGCAUGGCUGUCGUCAGCUCGUGUCGUGAGAUGUUGGGUUAAGUCCCGCAACGAGCGCAACCCUUAUCAACAGUUGCCAUCAUUAAGUUGGGAACUCUGUUGAGACUGCCGUUGAUAAAACGGAGGAAGGUGGGGAUGAUGUCAAGUCAUCAUGGCCUUUAUGCUUAGGGCUACACACGUGCUACAAUGGAUGGUACAAAACGUCGCAAUCUCGUAAGAGGGAGCUAAUCGCGAAAACCAUUCUCAGUUCGGAUUGAAGUCUGCAACUCGACUUCAUGAAGUUGGAAUCGCUAGUAAUCGCAGAUCAGAACGCUGCGGUGAAUACGUUCCCGGGUCUUGUACACACCGCCCGU
rnacentral:rRNA from 1 species